GACGAACGCCGGCGGCGUGCUUAACACAUGCAAGUCGAACGGAAAGGCCCUGCUUUUGUGGGGUGCUCGAGUGGCGAACGGGUGAGUAACACGUGAGUAACCUGCCCUUGACUUUGGGAUAACUUCAGGAAACUGGGGCUAAUACCGGAUAGGAGCUCCUGCUGCAUGGUGGGGGUUGGAAAGUUUCGGCGGUUGGGGAUGGACUCGCGGCUUAUCAGCUUGUUGGUGGGGUAGUGGCUUGCCAAGGCUUUGACGGGUAGCCGGCCUGAGAGGGUGACCGGCCACAUUGGGACUGAGAUACGGCCCAGACUCCUACGGGAGGCAGCAGUGGGGAAUAUUGCACAAUGGGCGGAAGCCUGAUGCAGCAACGCCGCGUGCGGGAUGACGGCCUUCGGGUUGUAAACCGCUUUCGCCUGUGACGAAGCGUGAGUGACGGUAAUGGGUAAAGAAGCACCGGCUAACUACGUG
rnacentral:rRNA from 1 species